UAGGGAGUAUUGCAUAAUGGGCGAAAGCCUGAUGCAGCAACGCCGCGUGGACGAUGAAGGCCUUCGGGUCGUAAAGUCCUUUUCAAGAGGAAGAGGAAGGACGGUACUCUUGGAAUAAGCCUCGGCUAACUACGUGCCAGCAGCCGCGGUAAAACCGUAGGAGGCAAGCGUUAUUCGGGAUUUACUGGGCGUAAAGCGUGUGCAGGCGGUUAGGGAAGUUGGAUGUGAAAGCUCCUGGCUUAACUGGGAGAGGUCGUUCAAGACUCCUUGACUUGAGAUUGAUAGAGGGAAGCGGAAUUCCGGGUGUAGUGGUGAAAUGCGUAGAUAUCCGGAGGAACACCGAGUGGCGAAAGCGGCUUCCUGGAUCACAUCUGACGCUCAGACACGAAAGCUAGGGUAG
rnacentral:rRNA from 1 species